rnacentral:rRNA from 1 species
AGGGUGCAAGCGUUAAUCGGAAUUACUGGGCGUAAAGCGCAUGCAGGUGGUUUGUUAAGUCAGAUGUGAAAGCCCUGGGCUCAACCUAGGAGUUGCAUUUGAAACUGACAAGCUAGAGUACUGUAGAGGGGGGUAGAAUUUCAGGUGUAGCGGUGAAAUGCGUAGAGAUCUGAAGGAAUACCGGUGGCGAAGGCGGCCCCCUGGACAGAUAC